rnacentral:lncRNA from 1 species
UUGAUUAUAUUUAAUCCAAUCACUUAGUGAAUAAAAAUUCCUUUUAAUUCACCUUUCUUCUUUGAUGACUACAUUUAAUCAUCUAGAAGAACUCACAAGCUAUGAGUGACAUCUAACCAUAUGUCAUAGCUACCCAAGCUAAUGUAGAAGUUGUUCGGAGAACCUAUUUAGUUGGAAUUACAAUGUAAUUCGAUCAUUCUCUAAAACAAUACUCUCAAUGACAUUACUAGGGUAUGGAUAUAUUAUGUCAAACCCCUAAUGUGAUUAUUCCUUCUUAUAUGAUUCAAUUGAGUCGUAUAGGAACGCUUUCCUUUAUUACGCUCGAUACUUCGGCCGAAGAUUCCCGAAUCAUAUCUCAGAGUAUUCUUCCUCUCUUAUCGAGGAUUAGAGAUUCCUUGUUGCGCAUUCACUUGCCUUCAUGACUAAGUGGCUUAACCCCAAUUAUGCUGUGGACAUCCGCGAAUGGGGUGACUUUGACACAAUCAAAGAUUAAGUACUUAGCCACAAGACAACGACGAUGCCUCAGGUCAAAGGACUACUUACAUUAUUCCAACCAUUAGAGUUACUUGCUUGACAUGUGAGUAGACCUCCAUGCAAGUACUCUCGUUCGAUUGUGUUCAGUGAACUCAUUCCCUUAAUGAGCACUUACAUACUUGUCUUAGUGUCACUACACAAAUGGGAUGAGACUUUCCAUUCUUCCAUUUGAAGCGGACACAGUAUGUACCGGUCUAAGCAUUGUCAGUUUCCCUCCGACAAUCCAAUGACCAGGAACCUUUUGGACAUAAUGGUUAUGUGAAGAAGGUCUCUGUAGUCUAACAUCAUUAGAUUACCUCUUCAAUCGAUCCAUUGUCCAUGGAUUCACUAUUUAGGACAUAUAUCGUUUAUUGAGAUAGUCCUAAUUAGUAUCUUUGCCUUUUGAUGUAUAAGAGUCAUCUAUACAUCGAUUUAUUUGUCCUGAAAGGUUUCUUCCAAAGAUUGACUUUCAGGGCAUAUUUCCAACACACCAUAGGCUGAAUACAUAUUAGAGCCCACUUGGGUGAUGGUUUUGGAUGAUUGAUAAGGAACUGGUCAUGUGAAAUAGUUCCAUAAUUCUAGGGGAAAUACUCACUAUCUCAGAGAUUUCUUACUAAUCAUAGGUAUAACUGAUGCGUAAAAUAACUAAACACACAAAUUAAACCCUCUUUUUAUCAAUUGUAGUAAAGUAUGUAAGUAGGGAUCGUUCUAGGCUGGGGAUUAGGAGGGAUUGCUAAAUCACUUGGAAACUGACUUGAAAACGUGAAAACAAAGUUUAAAACACUAACUAGACCCAAAGAAUGCAAAACUAUACUUUAAAACACUAAAACAAACCAAAAGACUCAAAACAGCCCCUAAACACUCAAAACUACCUUAAAAACACAAUCUGGGCAG